GCGUAGAGUGUAAGUCGAGCGGAUUUUUAUUGGUGCUUGCACCUUUAAAAUUUUAGCGGCGGACGGGUGAGUAACACGUGGGUAACCUACCUUAUAGAUUGGGAUAACUCCGGGAAACCGGGGCUAAUACCGAAUAAUACUUUUGAACACAUGUUUGGAAGUUGAAAGACGGUUUCGGCUGUCCCUAUAAAAUGGACCCCCGGCGCAUUACCUAGUUGGGGAGGUAACGGCUCACCAAGGCAACGAUGCGUACCCAACCUGAAAGGGGGAUCGGCCACCCUGGGACUGAAACCCGGCCCAAACUCCUACGGGAGGCACCAUUAGGGAAUCUUCCCCAAGGGACAAAAGUCUGAUGGACCACCCCCCCGGGAGUGAAAAAGGAUUUCGGUUCGUAAAACUCUGUUGCAAGGGAAAAACAAGUACCGUAUUAACUGGCGCUCCCUUGACGGUACCUGGUUAAAAAGCCACGGCUAACUACUUGCCACCAGCCGCGGUAAUACUUAGGUGGCAAGCGUUGUCCGGAAUUAUUGGGCGUAAAGCGCGCGCAGGUGGUUCUUAAGUCUGAUGUGAAAGCCCCCGGCUUCACCGGGGAGGGUUCAUUGGAAACCUGGGGAACCUGGAUGUGCAGGAAGGAGGAUAGUGGAAUUCCAAGGUGAGGCGGGUGAAUGGGGUGAGAGAUUGCAGGACACCCAGGGGGGAAGGGGCGCCUGUUUGGGUUUUGUAACUGCAAUUGAGGCCGGAAAAGCGUGGGGAGCAACCGGGUUUAGAUCCCUUGUUAGUCCACCCGUUAAAGGAGGAGUGUUAGGGGUUGGGGGGUUUCCCCCCUUAGUUGCGCAAGCUAAGCCUUUAACCAUUCCCCUGGGGGAGUCCGGUGGCAGGAUUGAAAUUAAAAGAAAUUGACGGGGGCCCGCCCAAGCGGUGAACCAUGUGGUUAAUUUGGAACCAACGGGAAGACCCUUACCAGUUCUGACCAUCCCGGUGACCAUUAUGGAAAAAUAGUUUCCCUUUGGGGGGCAAGGUUGCCAGGUGGUCCUUGUUGUUCUUCAGCUGGUGUCUUGAGAUGUUGGUUUAAUUCCCGCAACGAGGCCAACCUUUUUUUUUAGUUGCCUUCAUUCAGUUGGCCAUUUUAAGGAGACUCCCGGUGAUAAACGGGAGGAAGGUGGGGAGGACGUAAAAUCUUCAUGCCCUUUAUGACUUGGGUUACACACUUGUUCCAAUGGACAAUCCAAACGGUUGCCAACCCGGGAGGGGAAGUUAUUCCGAUAAAUUCUUUUUCAUUUCGGAUUGUAGGUUGCAAUUGGCUUCCAUGAACCGGGAAUCGUUGGUAAUCGGGGAUCACCAUGCCCCGGUGAAUACUUUCCCGGCCUUGGUCCCCACCCCCCUCCCCACCACGAGAGUUUUACCACCGAAAGUGGGUGAGGUAAAGUUUGACCCAGCCGCCGU
rnacentral:rRNA from 1 species